GCCAUAAUUUUAAUCUAAUUCACAACACAAACAAAAUUUAAAAAAACAAACCAUUUGACAAAAACAGUAGAGGAGAUCGAACUUUAAAAUUAGAAUAAAACACCAGUACCGUAAGGGAAAAAUGAAAUAAUAAUGAAACAAACAAGCAUAAAAAAGCAAAGAUUUUACCAUGUACCUAUUGCAUCACGAUUUAGCAAGCAUUUAUAGGCAAGAAGAAACAAGCUUAUACCCCCGAAUACAAGUGAGCUAUUUUAAAGCAACCACAGAGUUAACCCGUCCCUGUAGCAAAAGGGUGGGAAGACUUUAAAAUAGCGGUGAAAAGCCAACCGAACUUGUUGAUAGCUGGUUGCCAGAUAAAAGAAUUUUAGUUCCACUUUAAACUAGAAUAGUACUUUAUAAUAAAAACUUAGUUUAAAAGAUAUUCAAUUAGGGUACAGCCUAAUUGAAACAGGAUACAGCCUGAAGUAGAGAGACCCACCAUAAAACUAAAUAGUAGGCCUUAAAGCAGCCACCAAGAAAAAAAGCGUCACAGCACUAAUUUUUAAAAUCUCAUAAAUAAAUAAAAACUCCUAAAAACUACCCGGCCAUUCUAUACUACUAUAGAAGAAACUAUGCUAAAACUAGUAACAAGAAAUAUUCUCUUUGCACAAGUGUCCCUCAGUAAUAGAAAAUCUACUGAAAAUUAACAAAACUGUAAAAAUAUUAACAAAAUACAAAACAACUUGUUAACCCAACACAGGUGUGCACAACAGAACGAUUAAAAGUUAAAAAAGGAACUCGGCAACUAAAAAUUUCAACUGUUUACCAAAAACAUAGCCUUUAGCCCUCCAAGUAUUAAAGGUAAUGCCUGCCCAGUGAAAACUUAAACGGCCGCGGUAUUCUAACCGUGCAAAGGUAGCGUAAUCACUUGUCUUCUAAAUAAGGACCUGUAUGAAAGGCUAAAUGAACAUUUAACUGUCUUUUUUAACCAAUCAGUGAAACUGAUCUUCCAGUACAAAAGCUGGAAUAAACCUAUAAGACGAGAAGACCCUGUGGAGCUUUAAAUUUUUACCAAAGUAUUUUUACCAAAAAUACCUAUGCAAACAAAUUUUUAGUUGGGGCGACUUUGGAGAAAAACAAAACCUCCAAGAAAUAAGGCAUAGCCUACAUCUAGGCCUACUAGCCAAAACAAAUAAACGACCCAGUAUCACUGAUUAACGAACCAAGUUACCCCAGGGAUAACAGCGCCAUCUUCUUAAAGAGUUCAUAUCGACAAGAAGGCUUACGACCUCGAUGUUGGAUCAGGACACCCAAAUGGUGCAGCCGCUAUUAAAGGUUCGUUUGUUCAACGAUUAACAGUCCUACGUGAUCUGAGUUCAGACCGGAGUAAUCCAGGUCGGUUUCUAUCUAUAUUGUUGCUUUUUCCAGUACGAAAGGAACAAAAAAGCAGGACCAAUACAACUCGUACGUCCUCACCCAAUAGAUUUAACCCAAAUUAAAUUUCUAAAAAAACAAAUACAACCCCCCCGAGAUAUAGGGGGUUA
rnacentral:rRNA from 1 species